GGACGGGUGAGUAACACGUGGGUAACCUGCCCAUAAGACUGGGAUAACUCCGGGAAACCGGGGCUAAUACCGGAUAAUAUUUUGAACUGCAUGGUUCGAAAUUGAAAGGCGGCUUCGGCUGUCACUUAUGGAUGGACCCGCGUCGCAUUAGCUAGUUGGUGAGGUAACGGCUCACCAAGGCAACGAUGCGUAGCCGACCUGAGAGGGUGAUCGGCCACACUGGGACUGAGACACGGCCCAGACUCCUACGGGAGGCAGCAGUAGGGAAUCUUCCGCAAUGGACGAAAGUCUGACGGAGCAACGCCGCGUGAGUGAUGAAGGCUUUCGGGUCGUAAAACUCUGUUGUUAGGGAAGAACAAGUGCUAGUUGAAUAAGCUGGCACCUUGACGGUACCUAACCAGAAAGCCACGGCUAACUACGUGCCAGCAGCCGCGGUAAUACGUAGGUGGCAAGCGUUAUCCGGAAUUAUUGGGCGUAAAGCGCGCGCAGGUGGUUUCUUAAGUCUGAUGUGAAAGCCCACGGCUCAACCGUGGAGGGUCAUUGGAAACUGGG
rnacentral:rRNA from 1 species